rnacentral:piRNA from 1 species
CUAGUGGGUAAAGUGCCAUGGG